UACAGAGGGUGCGAGCGUUAAUCGGAAUUACUGGGCGUAAAGCGCGCGUAGGCGGCUUUGCAAGUCGGGUGUGAAAUCCCCAGGCUUAACCUGGGAACUGCAUUCGAGACUGCAUUGCUAGAGUAUGGGAGAGGGAAGUGGAAUUUCAGGUGUAGCGGUGAAAUGCGCAGAUAUCAGGAAGAACACCAAUGGCGAAGGCAGCUCUCUGGGACGGUACUGACGCUGAGACGCGAAAGCGUGGGGAGCGAACAGG
rnacentral:rRNA from 1 species